AACGAACGCUGGCGGCGUGGAUUAGGCAUGCAAGUCGAACGGUAGUCUAGCUUUUUCGGACUAUAGUGGCGAAAGGGUGAGUAACACGUGAGUGACCUGCCUUUGGGAUCGGGAUAACCUCUCGAAAGAGGGGCUAAUACCGGAUACGUCUUUAGGUCUACGGACUUAAAUGGAAAGAUGGGGAUUCCUUCGGGAACCUGUCGCCCUUAGAUGGGCUCGCGGCCUAUCAGCUAGUUGGUGAGGUAACGGCUCACCAAGGCUAAGACGGGUAGCUGGUCUGAGAGGAUGGUCAGCCACACUGGGACUGAGACACUGCCCAGACUCCUACAGGAGGCUGCAGUCGAGAAUCUUUCGCAAUGGGGGAAACCCUGACGAAGCGACGCCGCGUGCAGGACGAAGGCCAUCGGGUUGUAAACUGCUGUCGGCUGGGAAGAAAAUACCAGCGAUUAACAAUCGCUAGUACUGACGGUACCAGCAAAGGAAGCCACGGCUAACUCUGUGCCAGCACG
rnacentral:rRNA from 1 species